rnacentral:rRNA from 1 species
UGGGGAAUUUUGGACAAUGGGCGAAAGCCUGAUCCAGCAAUGCCGCGUGUGUGAAGAAGGCCUUCGGGUUGUAAAGCACUUUUGUCCGGAAAGAAAUCCUUGGCUCUAAUACAGUCGGGGGAUGACGGUACCGGAAGAAUAAGCACCGGCUAACUACGUGCCAGCAGCCGCGGUAAUACGUAGGGUGCAAGCGUUAAUCGGAAUUACUGGGCGUAAAGCGUGCGCAGGCGGUUUGCUAAGACCGAUGUGAAAUCCCCGGGCUCAACCUGGGAACUGCAUUGGUGACUGGCAGGCUAGAGUAUGGCAGAGGGGGGUAGAAUUCCACGUGUAGCAGUGAAAUGCGUAGAGAUGUGGAGGAAUACCGAUGGCGAAGGCAGCCCCCUGGGCCAAUACUGACGCUCAUGCACGAAAGCGUGGGGAGCAAAACAGGAUUAGAUACCCUGGUAGUCCACGCCCUAAACGAUGUCAACUAGUUGUUGGGGAUUCAUUUCCUUAGUAACGUAGCUAACGCGUGAAGUUGACCGCCUGGGGAGUACGGUCGCAAAGAUUAAAACUCAAAGGAAUUGACGGGGUCAUAGCUG